UACGUAGGGUGCAAGCGUUGUCCGGAAUUAUUGGGCGUAAAGAGCUCGUAGGCGGUUUGUCGCGUCUGCUGUGAAAACGCGAGGCUCAACCUCGCGCCUGCAGUGGGUACGGGCAGACUAGAGUGCGGUAGGGGAGAUUGGAAUUCCUGGUGUAGCGGUGGAAUGCGCAGAUAUCAGGAGGAACACCAAUGGCGAAGGCAGCACUCUGGGACGUGACUGACGCUGAGACGCGAAAGCGUGGGGAGCAAACAGG
rnacentral:rRNA from 1 species